GUUACCUUGCAGGGCCCUGAAACCGAAGAAGAACAAGAUAUUUUUCACCUGUUGGAAGAACUUGAAAAUGCUGCUCUCCAGCCUUCUGGAGGUGGUCUUGGCUGCAAUAUGGCUAGGAUCCAGUAUUGCCCAGAAGGUAACUCAAGACCAACCAGCAAUGUCAGUGCAGGAGAAAGAGGCUGUGACCCUGGACUGCUCAUAUGAAACCAGUGCUGCAACUUACAGCCUUUUCUGGUACAAACAGCAAAGCAAUGGGGCAAUGAUUUUUCUUAUUCGUCAGGACUCCUAUAACCAGAAAAAUGCCACAGAAGGUCGCUACUCACUGAUGUUUCAGAAAGGAAGCCAUUCUAUCAACCUUGUCAUCUCACCUUCACAGCUGGAGGACUCUGCAGUGUAUUUCUGUGCCCUGGAUGAGCCCACAGUGAGAGGUGUGUAGGAAGGAGGUGAACCAAAACCCCAGAACUCUGCUUGAUGCAUCCACCUGCUGUAGGGACCAAGGCCAGGAAUUGUCAGGACAGUCAGGAAGUGGCCAGGGCUGUGGUAGCACAGAUGUAGGAUGAUUGAGGGAAAGCACUCUAUGAAAAUACCUCUCUAGGUCCUUAGAUCAUGUGUACAAUUGUUGUUAAUCAAAAAAUCUAUAUGUUUGGAAAUUUAGGUUCAAAUUAUUUAUUAAAGACCAAGAACAACCAAAAGAAACAAUUUGCUGUUUGGUGAGACACUGAGCUAGGAGAAUUAACCAAGGAAAUUCAGAAACAUCUGAAUCUAAAGAUAGGAAAAGCCUGUGGUAUUAUAAGGUUUUCAGAUCAAUUUGUUCAAUAAAUAUUUAUUGAGUAUAUUUUAUGACACAGGCACUGUUGGAAGAGGAAGGCUGUGAAAUCUUUCUGUGGCUUUACUGUUUUUGUAUGUUAUGCUCUUUUAUACUGUUUAAUGAGUUAGUUUAAUUUGGAUUUGUUAGCUGAGUUAAGGUACCCUCCUUGAAUUUCUAAGGUGCCUACAAUAUGACAAACUUUGUGUUUUUACCAUCUUACUAACACACUAGCAUGGAAGAGACUAUUUCCUUUAUGUAGAUUUACCUGCAGUAAAUCCCACCAGUCUCACCCAUAAAUGAGCAAUAAUUGGUGGCUCUAGGGGGACAUUGUGAAGAAGCAAAGUGUGAACUAUCUUUUUGUACAAUUGCUCUUCAAUUCACUACUCUUCUAGAAGCAUUUUUUUGCCAUUCUGUGGCUCAUUUCACAGUGCCAUGCCCUCUUUUUUCUCUUUUUUCAAUGUUCCACAAUCUAAAACCCUUAUUUUCUAAUAUUUCCUCCACUUACCUGGAACCUCAUUGUCUCAGUGCCUUAAAAUUUGAAUGAUCAUGGAUGUUUAAUAAAUGAUCUUAUAUUGUAAACUCCAUCUUAUAAUUGAGUUGGGAAACCAGAUGUGCAUAGUAAAAAUAUGAAAAGGAGUCUUUUAACAUUUUUAAUAUUCUUAUACUUUUACCAUUUUAUCAUAAAUUUUUACCAUGUUAGGUGUACAACUGAGUGAUAUUAAGGACAUUUACACCUAAUGAACUCUGAUGACCUUAAAGAACUGAAAAGUUGUGCUCUGUUAACAAUAACAUUCCCUUCGCCCACCCCUCUAGCCUCUGGAAAAUACCAUUUGAGUUCUCAUUCUAGGAGUUUGACUGUUUUAGAUACCUCAUAAAGUGGGAUGCAGCAAUAUUGGUCACAUGGUAACUUAUUUCAGCUAGUGUAGUAUCCUGCUGGUUCACCCAUGUUGUAGCCUUUGUCAGAAUUUCUUUCUUUUUAAAUUAAAUAAUAUUCCAGUGUAUGUAUACACUGCAGUUUGUUUAUCCAUUGAUCUGCUGAUGGGCAUUUGUGUUGCUUCCACAUUUUCCUGGAAAAAUGUAUGUAAAUAUUUCAAUAUUUUGGAUGUACGAUGUGUCUGGAAAAAGGCCAGCCAGUGUUAAUAUACUGAAGGUGGUUUGUGUGACAUUGAUAUAAUCUGGCAACUAAGGAGAGUGGACUGGCAUGAGCAUGUGUGAACAAUGAUGACUUUACUGUACUAGUCAGUGUGUGUGUGGGGUAGAUGCUGUUGAGUGAGCAUGUGUACUGUGUGGCUGUCACAUUCAAAAUGAUUGAGCACAAUAAAUCUGCACCAUAUUUUGCCUUGAUCUUAAACAUUUUCCCAUGGAAACUAUUUGGGUGGUUCAGAAGGGCACAGCUCUGGGGAACUGGUGAUUGGCAGCUUCAUCACAACCAUGUGCCACCUCAUGCAUCACAUCUGGUGCAGAGUUUUUAUGUGAGACAUUAAA